CUGAACCCGGGGAGUCUUCACAUGUAGAUGGAUGGAUAGGUCUGAUUUUUCCAACUGAAGCACACUUGCAAGGGUCAGCACAAAGCCAGAAACCCAGUAGGUUCUGCCAGCCGCAGCAGCCUGUGCCCAGCAGGAGACCUGGUUUUGGGCCUGGGGUGACUUUUGUUUACACUGUUGUCUUACUUGGCUGGGAGCUCUCCCUGGGAGAGUGAAGAACUGAUGCAGAGAAAUGGCCGAGUGCGGGAGAAAUGGGUUUCCACCAAAGCGAUUUACCCAAUUUUCUUUUUCUGUAUAUCCUUAUACAUUUUAAAGGCAGAUUUAUUGCUAGUAAAAGUGCUGGCUGGACAAAGCGCUCUCAUGCUGUGCGUUUGCUUUUUCUUCUCUUGAAUGUUUUUAAACCUCUCUAGGUGUUUUGUCUUUUUGACAUAGACUGGCAGAGAAACCUAGGCAUCCUGGAUUCCCGGUUCACUGCUGUAGGGGCUUUGCCGGCUUGCUGGCUGCCCAGCCUGGCCAACUCCAGCCCUGCAGGGCCCACUCAGCGGGCGUACAGCACCAGAUGGAGAGAGGGAAGGCAGACCCAGCAAGAAUCCUCACGAAGAGGAGCUAGCAGCCCCGGGAAGAGAAAGAUCGUGCAGGACCAGUUGGACAAGAGCCCAGCUCUGAGUAACUCCCUGCAUUCAGGGAAAAUAAAAUCACAAAUGAGAACAGCAGGGGGCCAAGGACCAGCUGGAGACAAAGGGGUGUUGUUAGCUUCGGGGUGGGGGCUGUGAGACAAGCAAGGCUCUAGUGAGAUGUUCCAAAGUCUGGCCUGCCAUGGACAGCUGCCACCCGAGCUGCAGGCCUGGAAUGUUGUCACAAGCUCAGCGAGCCAUGCUGUCUGCCUCAGCCCAGGACCCGGAAAGACUGAUGAGACAAGAAAGGCCUUGGGCUUCCUCUUGCCUCCUGCAUCUUUAGCCUUCCCUGAACUGCCCUGGCAACUUAGCAGUGGCAAUGAGACUGCAGGCAACAACAACAACAAAAGGAAAUCUAAAAAACAAGACAUGAGGACAGGCGUGGUGGCUCACAUCUGUAAUCCCAGCACUUUGGGAGGCCAAGGUGGGAGGAUCACAAGUCGGGAGUUCAAGACCAGCCUGGCCAAGAUAGUGAAACCCUGUCUCUAUUAA
rnacentral:lncRNA from 1 species